GAUGAACGCUGGCGGCGUGCCUAAUACAUGCAAGUCGAGCGAACGGACGAGAAGCUUGCUUCUCUGAUGUUAGCGGCGGACGGGUGAGUAACACGUGGAUAACCUACCUAUAAGACUGGGAUAACUUCGGGAAACCGGAGCUAAUACCGGAUAAUAUUUUGAACCGCAUGGUUCAAAAGUGAAAGACGGUCUUGCUGUCACUUAUAGAUGGAUCCGCGCUUCAUUAGCGAGUUGGUAAGGUAACGGGUUACCAAGGCCACGAUGCAUAGCCGACCUGAGAGGGUGGUCGGCCACACUGGAACUGAGACACGCACCAGACUCCUACGGUAAGCAGCAGUAGGGAAUCUUCCGCAAUGGGCGAAAGCCUGACGGAGCAACGCCGCGUGAGUGAUGAAGGUCUUCGGAUCGUAAAACUCUGUUAUUAGGGAAGAACAUAUGUGUAAGUAACUGUGCACAUCUUGACGGUACCUAAUCAGAAAGCCACGGCUAACUACGUG
rnacentral:rRNA from 1 species